UACAGAGGUCUCAAGCGUUGUUCGGAUUCAUUGGGCGUAAAGGGUGCGUAGGCGGCGCGGUAAGUCGGGUGUGAAAUCUUGGAGCUUAACUCCGAAACUGCAUUCGGUACUGCCGUGCUUGAGGACUGGAGAGGAGACUGGAAUUUACGGUGUAGCGGUGAAAUGCGUAGAUAUCGUAAGGAAGACCAGUGGCGAAGGCGGGUCUCUGGACAGUUCCUGACGCUGAAGCACGAAGGCCAGGGGAGCAAACGGG
rnacentral:rRNA from 1 species